GUCGCCUCAGCGCGGGCGCCCGGGCGGCGGGCUGAGGGCGCCCUCUCCCCUCCCCCUGGCUCGCGGGUGUCCUUGGGUUUUUUCAGUCCUGUAUGCCUGGCUCAGAAUCCAAGGUUGCACUAAACUCAUCCCUCAGUUUGAUGCAUGGUUGCAGCAGGUUCGCCUUGUACUCUUUCUGCAGCAGAAACACCACCUGUUGUAUGGAUGAGCCUGCUAAUAUUCUCAGUGGUACACGAAGGUGUCCUGGGGAGAUUCUGGCCACCCAUUACUUGUUCCCACAUCAAUCAGAGAACUGAACCUACAAAGUUGCUGAAGUCCUGACUGUCAGCCAGAAACAGCACAGACCACAGGUUGAACCUUUUGAGCAGCUCAGGUAGCAGUCUUCCUCCCAAGCCACAUCCUACAGAAACAAUGAAAACCCUGUAGAGCAGGUCUGUGCACAAGUACUGAUGCUCUAUCAGCUGGCCUUUGACUGCACAUUCAUGAAAUGUUAUUUGAAAUACUAAAUACUUGAGUACCACCUGGAAAUCUGCAUAGUUGGCUGACUUCAUAUCCUUUUGAGAAGGAUCACUGUAGUACCUGUAAACUUAACAGUUAUCUUAGCAACAGUGUUCUUGCUGUCUCUGGAUGCGUGAGUUCCCAAGAAUACUUGUCGUGAUAGUUGGAUAUCCUCAUGACCAUUUUCCUUUCCCUGGUAUGGACUGAAGAGAGAAACGCAUUAUCUGGACGCUUGGCCCUUCAUUUCAGUGAUGUUGAAUGUACAGAACUUCUGAAAUGCUUUGGAUCCUUCAAAAUGAAAAGUCUUGCAUUGAUUUCAACCAUUUAUUUACAGUGAUUUAACAUGAACGUGAUAUACAAACAUAUCAGUGAUUCAGUUUACCAGAACCUGAUCCUCACAGAAUUUCAGAUUUUUAUCAGACAAGUAACAUUCUGAUUUCCUUUAAAAUACUUGGGCACCCAAGGCUACAAACUAGUGUAUGUAGGUACUGUUUGAUAAGUGUGGUGCAUCAGCAUGUAUUUUACCUUGGCUGAGUCAGAAAAAGAGCUCUAGUCUUCUGUGUUUUUUUCCCAUCUCUGACCACUCUGAUCUGCUUUCUUUAGAAAUACAUUUUUUUUCUAAACUGGGUCAGUUUCAUAAUUCACCUCUCUGGCAUCUAUCUAAUCUAUGUAUGAAAUGUUUUAAAACAUUUAGUGAUAGUGCACUACAGAACAACUUGUUCCCUGUGGAAGUUUUUCCUUGAACCCGAGUAGGACACACAUAAUUCUGAACAAUCCUCUUUUGAAAAUUCUGGAGGUGUUUUAUUAUUUGCAACUGCACAUACAUUUGUAUGUAAUGUUACCCAUAGAAGAAUUCAAUUUCUUUUCCAGUCAGACAAUGGUUAAUUCCACAAAGCGUGCAAAAAAUAUAUGUUGACUUUGAAAUUGCCAUGUUUGAUUUAAUUGAAUUAUUGAUAAUUGAAUUUAUACCUGUAUUUUUAUAGUGUAACAGAAUGAAUAGAAAUUCUCUGCUUACCUUAUUCAUACUAUUGUUUUCUACACUUUUAUCUUUUUUUUUAUCUCCAUAUCAAUAUACAUAUCAAAGUAGGUCAGUCUUUAUGGUCUUUCUUUAUAAGAGUUUUUCCGUAUUUUUAUUCAUCUUCAUAGCUCAUUUCUGAACUGCUUCUUUUUGUCCUGUACUCUUUUUCAGUAGAAAUAACCAUAGCAACACCAUUCCCACACAUGAGACCAUACCAUUGCUAUAUAGCAAAGUGAAAUAACAAUUUUUAUCAUUGUAAACGGUACUCUUUUAGGGCCUUUAAAAAUUAUGAUGCUGCACAUUAGCUAAUGCCCAAGUUGUCUUUUCAGAGUUGAUGCACUUAAUUUUAAAGUCAGCUUUAUGUAGUGUAAACUGCACUCCUUAUAUUUAUUGUUUUGCCAUUGUCAUAACUGAAUUUCAUUGCUCAUCUUCCUCUCUGUUUAGUGAUGUCUUAGAGAUUUUGUGAUAAAAUAAAAUAAAGCUUGUAAAACACUACGGUAUGUCAGCCUAGAUGCCUUUAUCUUAGUAAAGGCUUACACGAUAUCUGAAUAUUUUGAAUAUAUGCAUAUAUUUGAAUAUAUAUAAAAAUGUAUAUUCUUCCUGAAAAACACAGUUAAAGUAAGAAAUCUUAUCCUUCUUCCCUAAAAAGGAGCAUGCCUGUUACUGAUGCUACAUAAAUAUUCUAUGAUUAAAAAUAGAGGUUCGGGUGAAUUAAAUCAUAGAUUAUUCCUAUAUAUAGUGCUCUGACUAAUGCCUCCCAUCUCAUAGCACUACUCCUGUUCUCUGAAAGUUCCUUAACUGUUGGUAUUUCUCUUCAUUAAAGGAGAAAUUUACUUUAUCAUUUCUCUACAAUUUUGCUUUCACUUUUCAACACAUUUUCCUUAUCUUGUAUUUAUAUUUUUUAAAAUGCUUAUUUUUUAUGAAAAUGUUCUCUGGUUUAGUGUCUUAAUUUAAAAUAUACUGAUCUCUACUACCUUUAGAAUUGUGUAAAUAGAACAAGUAGUGACUGCGUACUUUUCCUCUGUUUUUAACCUAUUUUCUUUCUGUAUUUUGUUGUUACUACUCCUAUGAAGAAUUUGUAAUGCUCUCAUGUGAGAUUCCAAAAGUGAAAUAUUCCCAUUUUACUUCCUUUAGUGCUGUACUGAUUACUUCAGAUGUAUGGAGAUUGUGUAGAGGCUUUCCAAAUUAAAUCCUAUGUAUCAUACUUCACUUUUUUCCUGAGAACUGAUUCUUUGGCCUUGAAGCUUGAGUAACUCUAGAAUAUAGCAUACCAACAACCAUUCUGCUAGCUCUAGAAGAUGGAACGGAAACCUAGCCAGCAAAGCUUUAAUUCAAAUGCAAUUCCAUUUUUCCUCAAUUUAGAUGAGAGAUUUGAUAUGACAGUAGAGAAGUAUGUCCAAAAUUGUAUCUUUCUCUUAAAUUUUUGUCCUUUCUCAUUUAGCUUCAAUUAUAUAUCAUACUAAGUAAUAGAAACAAACUACAAGCAAUUUAUUAAAAACAUAUUAAUAGUGUGCAAUUUAAAUUUUGCCUAUUCUUUUACAUGUUUAUUGAAAGGUAGAGUGAAAGACUUCACUUUCUGGUGUGAUUUUUAGUGUGCUAAUUGAGCAUUGACAGUUAAUGAAGUUCUGUCAUAACAGGACUACUUAGCAUUUACAGUGUUCUUCGCAGUUCCAGACAUCAGUUUUUAAACUUGCAGGUAGUGGAUCCUUCCUGGCAUAAUUAUUGCAUUAUACUGGAGAAGGUAACACGCGUGGCAGUUGUCGCAAUAUCAUGAUUCUGUCAGUACUCCUGAAACCCUCCUAUAGUUUCAUGCCUUGUGAACUUUGAAUUCUCUCCAACACUUUUAUCCUAUUCAACUGAAAUGGUUUCUGUAUGGCACUGUAAUUCAGUUUCUGGGUUAAUAAAGCUAGGUUAAGAAAACCACUGAAUCAAAAAAUAAACUGUAAAAAUGUUAUUAGGAAAAUAAAAUGUCAUUGACUCAG